rnacentral:rRNA from 1 species
GAUGAACGCUGACAGAAUGCUUAACACAUGCAAGUCUUUGGCGAAUCUGUGCUUGCACAGGCUAGCCAAGGCGGACGGGUGAGUAACGCGUAAAGAACUUGCCCUGCAGACAGGGAUAACAGACGGAAACGACUGAUAACAUCUGAUACAGUUGCCGGCACGCAUGUGCCUGGCAAUGAAAAGAGAUGCUGCAGGAGAGCUUUGCGUCCUAUUAGCUUGUUGGUGAGGUGACGGCUCACCAAGGCGAUGAUAGGUAGCCGGCCUGAGAGGGUGAACGGCCACAAGGGGACUGAGAUACGGCCCUUACUCCUACGGGAGGCAGCAGUGGGGAAUAUUGGACAAUGGGGGCAACCCUGAUCCAGCAAUUCUGUGUGCACGAAGAAGGUUUUCGGAUUGUAAAGUGCUUUCAGCAGGGAAGAAGAAAGUGACGGUACCUGCAGAAGAAGCGACGGCUAAAUACGUG